CAUCCCCCACAUUCUUCUAUUUCCUCUCAGUCACUGAUCCCCUCUUUACUGAAAAAGAUCAGAGUCCCAGAAAAACUGCAGAGGACCUCCAAGUUACCCAUUAAAUCCCAGAGGAAGACUAGAGACCGGCUGCUGUUUUUCAGUCCUCAAAAGAUACCGGAAUUGAAGAGGCCUAGAGAAAAUAAACAUAAACGAGAAGGGAUGGGAAAGAAGACAGGCUGAGAAUGAGGAUUCUUCUCUCCGGAAAGAUGGAUAUAAAGAGGCCAUCAUUAAUUCACAAUUCAAACCCACACUGAUCCGUUUUUCAAGGACGCGGGUAGCGAACCUGUUCAAAGUACCACAUUAUCAAAAUGGACAAAGAGAACAGCUGCCUCCUGCC